AACGCACCUUGCGCUCCUUGGUAUUCCGAGGAGCAUGCCUGUUUGAGUGUCAUGUUAUUCUCAAUCCCUUUGGUUUUUGUGACCGCUGGGGUUGGAUGUGGAGGUUUUUGCUGGCUUCGCGGUCGGCUCCUCUUGAAUGCAUUAGCUGGGCUUACGCUCGAUGCAAUGGUGUAAUACUUUUCUCCACCAGUGUAACUUGCGAUUGGGGCCUGCUUCUAAUCGUCGCAAGACAACCAUAAGGACCCUCGGUCCUUUGACACCUUUGACCUCAAAUCAGGUAGGACUACCCGCUGAACUUAA
rnacentral:misc_RNA from 1 species